rnacentral:sRNA from 1 species
CGCGGGAUUUGGCCGCCGCGGGGCUCCGGAGCCGCUCGCUCCCGACACGGCUCACGAUGCGCGGCGAGCAGGGCGCGGCGGGGGCCCGGGUGCUCCAGUUCACUAACUGCCGGAUCCUGCGCGGAGGGAAACUGCUCAGGGAGGAUCUGUGGGUGCGCGGAGGCCGCAUCUUGGACCCAGAGAAGCUGUUCUUUGAGGAGCGGCGCGUGGCCGACGAGCGGCGGGACUGCGGGGGCCGCAUCUUGGCUCCCGGAUUCAUCGAUGUGCAGAUCAACGGUGCGGCCCGGGGCCGGCAGGGGAACCCAGGGGAGGAGCUCUGAGCUCCAUGCGACACUUCCUUUUCUGUGGCUGCAGGUGGAUUUGGUGUUGACUUCUCUCAAGCCACGGAGGACGUGGGUUCGGGGGUUGCCCUGGUGGCCCGGAGGAUCCUGUCGCACGGCGUCACCUCCUUCUGCCCCACCCUGGUCACUUCCCCACCGGAGGUUUAUCACAAGGUUGUUCCUCAGAUCCCUGUGAAGAGUGGUGGUCCCCAUGGGGCAGGGGUCCUCGGUGAGUGGCUGACCUCCUCCCCGCCCCCACCCUGGGAGGCUCCUGCGGGACCUGUUGGCAGCCCCCACCCCUCCAGAUGCCCAGCUGGUGGGGAGGGCAGGUGAUAAGGGCUGGGUGGGGCAGGGACCUGCUGGAGCCACUUGCUCCCUCCUCCCAGGGCUGCACCUGGAGGGCCCCUUCAUCAGCCGGGAGAAGCGGGGCGCGCACCCCGAGGCCCACCUCCGCUCCUUCGAGGCCGAUGCCUUCCAGGACUUGCUGGCCACC